rnacentral:rRNA from 1 species
CCUACGGGUGGCAGCAGUGGGGAAUAUUGCACAAUGGGGGAAACCCUGAUGCAGCGACGCCGCGUGAGUGAAGAAGUAUUUCGGUAUGUAAAGCUCUAUCAGCAGGGAAGAAAAUGACGGUACCUGAUUAAGAAGCCCCGGCUAACUACGUGCCAGCAGCCGCGGUAAUACGUAGGGGGCAAGCGUUAUCCGGAUUUAAUGGGUGGAAAGGGAGCGUAGACGGCAGUGCAAGUCUGGAGUGAAAGGCCGGGGCUUAACCCCGGGACUGCUUUGGAAACUGUACGGCUAGAGUGCAGGAGAGGGAAGUGGAAUUCCUAGUGUAGCGGUGAAAUGCGUAGAUAUUAGGAGGAACACCAGUGGCGAAGGCGGCUUACUGGACUGUAACUGACGUUGAGGCUCGAAAGCGUGGGGAGCAAACAGGAUUAGAUACCCCAGUAGUC